rnacentral:rRNA from 1 species
UACGAAGGGGGCUAGCGUUGCUCGGAAUGACUGGGCGUAAAGGGCGCGUAGGCGGAUGGCAUAGUCAGAUGUGAAAUUCCCGGGCUUAACCUGGGGACUGCAUUUGAUACGUGUCGUCUUGAGUUCGGAAGAGGGUCGUGGAAUUCCCGGUGUAGUGGUGAAAUGCGUAGAUAUCGGGAGGAACACCAGUGGCGAAGGCGACUUCCUGGCCUGUUCUUGACGCUGAGGCGCGAAAGCUAGGGUAGCAAACGGG